GACGAAGGUGGCUAGCGUUGUUCGGUGUCACUGGGCUUAAAGCGUGUGUAGGCGGGAUGGUAAGCGUCUUGUGAAAUCCCUCGGCUUAACCGAGGAAUGGCUCGGCGAACUGCCUUCCUUGAGGCAAGUAGGGGUGCAUGGAACUCUUGGUGGAGCGGUGGAAUGCGUAGAUAUCAAGAGGAACGCCAGAGGUGAAAACGGUGCACUGGGCUUGUCCUGACGCUCAGACACGAAGGCGUGGGGAGCGAACGGGAUUAGAUACCCCCGUA
rnacentral:rRNA from 1 species